rnacentral:rRNA from 2 species
CUGGUGUCCGCCCCCCCCGUAAUACCCACCCCUCCAGUGGUCCAGAAGGUUUUUGGGCCCUAAGCAUCCCUAACCCGGUCUGCUAGUCUUCCGGUUAAUCCUCCUGCCCUACCGAUGGGCUGGUGGAAAUACUAGAAAACUUAGGAAUGGGAAAAGGAAACCGGAUCCCGUGAGGAGGGGUAAAAACCUCUUAUUCUUUGAAGAACCCCCUUGGCCAAAGGCGGCUGCCCAAACCCCUUCCAACGGGAAGGAAGAAAACUGGGGGAACCAACCGGAAUUAAAACCCCGGUAAUCCCCACUUGAAACCAAGCAAACUCCGUGAAGCAUUUGCUUUGGGCCAAUGCGGUGGCCCAGGGAAACCCUUUAGUUUGCCGCCUGGGAAAUACGGACCCCAGUCUGAAAAUUUAAG